GCCGCCCGGCCUUCGUGCUUUCUCCGCCUCCUAGCCCGCGCGGAGGGACGGGCCAGCACUCCGCCCGCCCGCGUAGAGUGAGCGGCGCCGGCCGCCUCGCCAGCCCGCGGUUUCCCGGUCGCUUUCCGGGCGCGCGCAGCGAGCGAGCGCUACUAUGCCAAGAUGGUCCUGCAGGCGCGGAACAAGCACCGGGAGGCGGCUCCCAAGCCGCCCCAGCCGCCACGCGCCUCGCAGUCGCCGCUGAGGGGGGCGCCGGACGUCGGCGCCGGGGAGCCGGGGCCAGAGCGCGCGUCCCAGUCCCCUGGGCGCAAGGGCGCCGCGGGCAGGAAGGGGCCCCGCGCUGAGCCCGCCGCCUCGCCCGCCGGGCGCAGCCUGGCGGGGCGCCUGGCGACCGGGCUGCGUGGGGCGCUGGGCCUGCGGCGCGCGGGGCGCGGCCGGACCUGGAGCACGCUCCUCCUAGCUGCCUUUGCAGCCAUCUUGCACUGGUGCCACAUAACACACCUCUUUGAAAAUGAUCGCCAUUUUUCUCACCUGUCAACAUUGGAAAGGGAGAUGGCUUUUCGCACUGAAAUGGGACUAUAUUAUUCUUACUUCAAGACUAUUGUGGAAGCACCCUCAUUUUUUAAUGGAGUGUGGAUGAUCAUGAAUGAUAAGUUGACUGAAUACCCCCUUGUUAUUAAUACAUUGAAAAGGUUCAAUCUUUACCCUGAGGUGGUCUUGGCCAGUUGGUACCGAAUUUAUACUAAAAUAAUGGACUUGAUUGGUAUUCAAACCAAGAUAUGUUGGACAGUUACCAGAGGAGAAGGACUCAGUCCUAUUGAAAGCUGUGAAGGAUUGGGAGAUCCUGCUUGCUUUUAUGUUGCUGUAAUUUUUAUUUUAAAUGGACUAAUGAUGGCAUUAUUCUUCAUAUAUGGCACAUAUUUAAGUGGCAGCCGACUAGGAGGCCUGGUUACAGUCUUAUGCUUCUUUUUCAAUCAUGGAGAGUGUACCCGUGUGAUGUGGACACCACCUCUCCGUGAAAGCUUCUCAUAUCCAUUUCUUGUGCUUCAGAUGUUGCUUGUGACUCAUAUUCUCAGGGCUACAAAGCUUUAUAGAGGGAGCUUGAUUGCACUUUGCAUUUCCAAUGUAUUUUUCAUGCUGCCUUGGCAGUUUGCUCAGUUUGUACUUCUCACUCAGAUUGCAUCAUUAUUUGCAGUAUAUGUUGUGGGCUACAUUGAUAUAUACAAAUUACGGAAGAUUAUUUACAUACACAUGAUUUCUCUUGCACUUUGUUUUGUUUUGAUGUUUGGGAACUCGAUGUUAUUAACAUCUUACUAUGCUUCCUCCUUGGUAAUUAUUUGGGGUGUGCUGGCAAUGAAACCACAUUUUCUGAAAAUGAAUGUGUCUGAACUUAGUUUAUGGGUUAUCCAAGGAUGUUUUUGGUUAUUUGGGACCAUUAUACUCAAGUAUUUGACAUCUAGAAUCUUUGGCAUUGCAGAUGAUGCUCAUAUUGGCAACUUAUUAACAUCAAAAUUCUUCAGUUACAAGGAUUUUGAUACUUUAUUGUACACCUGUGCAGCAGAGUUUGACUUUAUGGAAAAAGAGACCCCACUGAGAUACACAAGGACACUGCUGCUUCCUGCUGUUCUUGUGGUAUUUAUUGCAAUUGUUAAAAAGAUUAUUAGUGAUAUGUGGGGUGUCAUAACUAAACCACAGACACAUAUACGAAAACACCAGUUUGAUCAUGGAGAGCUGGUUUAUCAUGCAUUGCAACUGUUAGCAUAUACAGCCCUUGGCAUUUUGAUUAUGAGACUGAAACUCUUCUUGACACCGCACAUGUGUGUUAUGGCUUCCUUGAUCUGCUCAAGACAGCUAUUUGGAUGGCUGUUUUGUAAAGUACAUCCUGGUGCUGUUGUUUUUGCUGUAUUAGCAGCAAUGUCAAUUCAAGGUUCAGCAAAUCUACAAACCCAGUGGAAUAUUGUAGGGGAGUUCAGUAAUUUGCCCCAAGAAGAACUUAUAGAAUGGAUCAAAUAUAGUACUAAACCAGAUGCAGUGUUUGCAGGUGCCAUGCCCACCAUGGCAAGCGUGAAGCUGUCUGCGCUUCGGCCUGUGGUGAACCAUCCACAUUACGAAGAUGCAGGCUUGAGAGCUAGAACAAAAAUAGUAUACUCAAUGUACAGUCGAAAAGCAGCUGAAGAAGUGAAGCGAGAAUUGAUAAAGUUAAAAGUGAAUUAUUACAUUCUAGAGGAAUCAUGGUGUAUAAGAAGAUCCAAGCCUGGUUGCAGUAUGCCUGAAAUUUGGGAUGUGGAAGAUCCUGCCAAUGCUGGGAAAACUCCCUUAUGUAACCUCUUGGUGAAGGAUUCCAAGCCUCACUUUACCACUGUAUUCCAGAACAGUGUUUACAAAGUCCUAGAAGUCAUAAAAGAAUGACUGCUAUAUGAACUGCUGCCUACAGAGAACCACACCAGUAAUGGUUUUAAUGUUUUGCUAAUAAUUUGCAUUUUAUUUUUAAUUCACACGCCCCCAAAUUUUUAUAGGCAGAUUAACCUCAUUGUGGAUUGUCCUUGAGACCUGAGUCCUCAGGGAUGGUUUCCGGUGCCCACUCCUGGGAGCCACAGAAGAGCUACUCUCUUUCUGCCUUCUUACCAGAGCCCAAGGACAAGCCUGCUCUGUUUGUAUUGGUCAGCUGCAAACAGCAUGUGCAACUGAGGAGUGUGGCUUUGGUGGGGAGCACCAUCCCUAUCCCUAACCCUCCCUAGAGCCAGAACCUGUACCUCCUCCAGGGAGUCCCUUCCCUGCUGUUGGCCCCAGGGGAUUGCUUCUGCUAGUGUUGUACAGAUUUCUGGUCACUCUGUCUCAUUUGCUGCUUGACUGUUUUUUUUCUUAGGCUUUACUGGGUUCUGAAUAUAGAGAUGCAGAUGGGGAUUUAUGAAUUAGGAAUAGCCUUUGAGCAAAGAUGCAGCAAUCUGGAAAAAUGGGAAGAAGACACCUUGAGGCUGAGGAGAAUGAGAGUCAUCGCCAUGGGAAGAGGGGAGGGGUGCUCUGUGUUAGCUGCAAUUGUCCCUCCAGCAGUUGUCAUUACUUCCAUUCUAGUUUUAAAGUUACUCUCUUCUCUCUUCUCCCCUCCAACAAUCACAGUUCACAUGUGAUGACUGGAAAUUCUGUACAGAAAAAAACUUUAAAUACUGUUGUAAUGCUGGGAAACAUUAUUCUAAAUUAGUUUUUUUCCAGAAGAAUUCUUUUGUAACAGUAUUUCUUAAUGUAACUCCACCAGCAAACUCUGUUUGUACUUCAGGCAAGUCAGUUGAGAACAGAAGGCUUGGGGGUCCUCUGCUCAUUCAGCCUUGAGCACUUACAGAAGCAGCCAGCACUGUGCGGUAUAAAUACUUUCAUGGUAAAGAAGUAGUAGAUUCUGCAUACAUGACAAAGCAGUGUUAGAGCUCAGUAUUUUACAUAUUUUUAGCACUUAAAAAUAUUUUUGCUUUACUGUGGGGAACAUAAGGAUGGGCAAAGCAGUGAUUGAAAUAGCUAUUGCUAUGACAUUUUAAAUAACAAGGUUGGGGCAGUAUUUCCACAAAAAAGAUAAGCCUGUAAAAAUGCUUGGCAGGAAAAGUGUACUGUUAAAAUAGGCCAAUGACAUUAAGUAGAAAAGGAAAGACCACAUCAGGAAUAAAGUGAUAUUACAUAGGAGUAUUGUAUUUUUAUGAA